AGCAACCAAAUCCCGUGUAGUUGAAUUGUGGACUGCUACAUUCAACAACCGGCAGGCUUUUCGUCUGGAAAACAGGUUCACUGAAUACUUGAUGGAUUUUCCUGUAUUCUCAGCAUACAACGGAGAGCUGAUCUCCAUCGAUUACCACAAGAUGAAGCCCUCAGCCGCAUCUUUCUGUCAUAAUUGGGAACAAAUCGAAGCAAACAUUUUGAAGCAGAAUAGUCAUCUCUACAAGGAAAUCAAAGCAGAUUUUAUUCGAGCGCUGUCAAUCAUCCGAUUGAAAAAUCCAUCCAGAGGAUCCAAAAGGAAGCAAGACAAUUCCAGAAAGGAAAACCCACUAUCU